AACCAUUGUUCGCAGCUCGGCCAUGUC
rnacentral:sRNA from 1 species